rnacentral:rRNA from 1 species
AUUGAACGCUGGCGGCAUGCUUUACACAUGCAAGUCGAACGGUAACAGGCCGCAAGGUGCUGACGAGUGGCGCACGGGUGAGUAAUGCAUCGGAACGUGCCCAGUCGUGGGGGAUAACUACUCGAAAGAGUAGCUAAUACCGCAUACGAUCUAUGGAUGAAAGCGGGGGACCGUAAGGCCUCGCGCGAUUGGAGCGGCCGAUGUCAGAUUAGGUAGUUGGUGGGGUAAAGGCUCACCAAGCCAACGAUCUGUAGCUGGUCUGAGAGGACGACCAGCCACACUGGGACUGAGACACGGCCCAGACUCCUACGGGAGGCAGCAGUGGGGAAUUUUGGACAAUGGGCGAAAGCCUGAUCCAGCAAUGCCGCGUGCAGGAAGAAGGCCUUCGGGUUGUAAACUGCUUUUGUACGGAACGAAACGGCUCUGGUUAAUACCCGGGGCUAAUGACGGUACCGUAAGAAUAAGCACCGGCUAACUACGUG